rnacentral:tRNA from 1 species
GGCUCUGUAGCUCAGUGGUAGAGCAGGGGAUUCAUAAGCCCUUGGUCACAGGUUCGAGUCCCGUCCGAGCCA